rnacentral:rRNA from 1 species
GACGUAGGGCGCGAGCGUUGUCCGGAUUUAUUGGGCGUAAAGAGCUCGUAGGCGGCUUGUCGCGUCGACCGUGAAAACUUGGGGCUCAACCCCAAGCCUGCGGUCGAUACGGGCAGGCUCGAGUUCGGUAGGGGAGACUGGAAUUCCUGGUGUAGCGGUGAAAUGCGCAGAUAUCAGGAGGAACACCGAUGGCGAAGGCAGGUCUCUGGGCAUUAACUGACGCUGAGGAGCGAAAGCAUGGGGAGCGAACAGG